GAUGAACGCUGGCGGCGUGCCUAAUACAUGCAAGUCGAGCGAACAGACGAGGAGCUUGCUCCUCUGACGUUAGCGGCGGACGGGUGAGUAACACGUGGAUAACCUACCUAUAAGACUGGGAUAACUUCUGGAAACCUGAGCUAAUACCGGAUAAUAUAUUGAACCGCAUGGUUCAAUAGUGAAAGACGGUUUUGCUGUCACUUAUAGAUGGAUCCGCGCCGCAUUAGCUAGUUGGUAAGGUAACGGCUUACCAAGGCAACGAUGCGUAGCCGACCUGAGAGGGUGAGCGGCCACACCGGAACUGAGGCACGGUCCAGACUCCUACGGGAGGCAGCAGUAGGGAAUCUUCCGCAAUGGGCGAAAGCCUGACGGAGCAGCGCCGCGUGAGUGAUGAAGCUCUUCGGAUCGUAAAACUCUGUUAUUAGGGAGGAACAAAUGUGUAAGUAACUAUGCACGUCUUGACGGUACCUAAUCAGAAAGCAACGGCUAACUACGUG
rnacentral:rRNA from 1 species